rnacentral:lncRNA from 1 species
GCUGGUAUUGAUGGAUGAUAUAGGUCUCACUCUGCUGGUAUUGAUGGAUGGCAUAGGUCUCACACUCUGCUGGUAUUGAUGGUUGGUAUAGGUCUCACUCUGCUGGUAUUGAUGGAUGGUAUAGGUCUCACUCUGCUGGUAUUGAUGGAUGGUAUAGGUCUCACUCUGCUGGUAUUGAUGGAUGGUAUAGGUCUCACUCUGCUGGUAUUGAUGGCUGGUAUAGGUCUCACUCUGCUGGUAUUGAUGGAUGGUAUAGGUCUCACUCUGCUGGUAUUGAUGGAUGGUACAGGUCUCACUCUGCUGGUAUUGAUGACUGGUAUAGGUCUCACUCUGCUGGUAUUGAUGGAUGGUAUAGGUCUCACACUCUGCUGGUAUUGAUGGCUGGUAUAGGUCUCACACUCUGCUGGUAUUGAUGGAUGGUAUAGGUCUCACACUCUGCUGGUAUUGAUGGAUGGUAUAGGUCUCACUCUGCUGGUAUUGAUGGAUGGUAUAGGUCUCACACUCUGCUGGUAUUGAUGGAUGGUAUAGGUCUCACACUCUGC